rfam:Gossypium raimondii Chr01_contig_34, whole genome shotgun sequence.
UGUUAAACAUUUCAUCCCUUUAUACUAUUAGCAACUAGCGUGACUGACAGAAUAAUAAGACAAUGAUGCUUGGCUUGGCUUGGCUUGCCUAGUGUGCCUAAUGCUGACGUGCAGGAUCGACUUUUAGCAGUAGAAAUAAAUGAAGUUUUUAACA